AAUGUUAGAAGUAGUCCUACCAGAGACAGAUCAACAUGCAAAGAGCAUCUGAGGAGCAUGAUAACUAUAAUUGAUUACAGGUCUCUGCAGUGUCAUUUGCCCUCACCAUCAGAUAUGGAGUACAGCUAUUGUUUCUCUUUAUCCUUUACUACACUAUGCUGUGAGCUGUAGCUCACGAAAGCUCAUGCUCAAAUAAAUUGGUUAG